rnacentral:lncRNA from 1 species
CAUCUAUUAUAUAUUAUAAAACCACUAACACAUAGUCUAACAUUAUUAAAAUUGAACCAAAAGAUUGGGUUUGAAACAAGGUUCUAAAAAAUGCUAGGUGCUAGUCGGGCGGUGGGCUAGCGCCUAGCGCCUAGGCUGAUUUAGGUCAAUUUCUUGUAUAUCUUGUAAAUAAGUGCAUAUUGACACUUACAAAAAAUUAUACGUGUAUGAAAUCCAUGGAUAAGAUAAUAAAAGAAUGAUAAAAUGCAAAAAGAGUAUCCAACAAGUCCAAAAUUUAAAAACACAUUAAGCAUGUAUGCCAUAUAACCAUAGUGAAAAAUAUUGUAGGAUGACGCAUGUACAACAAGUUCACAAUUUAAAACAACAUAAAAUGGAAAAUAGGAGGAAAAUAAGGAAAUUUAGUAAUGUAAGAUACUUAUCUUUAGCAUCCCAGAAUUUAAGUUGAUACACAACACACCUAUUCUAUAAAAUUAAAAAAAAAAUUUCAAGGUAUAAUUAUACUUAAGACUUUAAACAAAUUUCAAAAAAAAAAAAAAAAAAAAAAA